rnacentral:rRNA from 1 species
GACGAACGCUGGCGGCGUGCUUAACACAUGCAAGUCGAACGGAAAGGCCCUGCUUGCCGGGUACUCGAGUGGCGAACGGGUGAGUAACACGUGGGUGAUCUGCCCUGCACUUCGGGAUAAGCCUGGGAAACUGGGUCUAAUACCGGAUAGGAGCCAUUUUUAGUGUGAUGGUUGGAAAGUUUUUUCGGUGUAGGAUGAGCUCGCGGCCUAUCAGCUUGUUGGUGGGGUAAUGGCCUACCAAGGCGGCGACGGGUAGCCGGCCUGAGAGGGUGGACGGCCACAUUGGGACUGAGAUACGGCCCAGACGCCGACGGGAGGCAGCAGGGGGGAAUAUUGCACAAGGGGCGCAAGCCGGAUGCAGCGACGCCGCGUGGGGGAGGACGGCCUUCGGGUUGUAAACUCCUUUCGCUAGGGACGAAGCUUUUUGUGACGGUACCUAGAGAAGAAGCACCGGCUAACUACGUG